CGCACCCCUCCUGGGCAGAGUGGGUCUCCCCAUCUUGCUGCUCCCCUGCUAUGAGCUGGGAGGAAGAAGAGAGCGUGGCCAUCACCUCACGUGUGUAAGGUCUCCUUUUGUCCUCAUGAGGAGGGAUGGAAGGGACCGCCGUUGUCUUUACAAGGUUCCUACACCAAAGGCAGUGGAAAUCGCUGUUGAGGGAGACUCUCUUUUCUGCAUCGCCUGUUCCAUCAAUCUGGGAUCCUGAGUUCUGUCCUGAUGUAAACGACAUGACUGGAAAGUGACAAACCUGGGGCGCAUCAGCUCAGUCCCAGCCCUGCCUCCCCACUGCCCGACCACUGAACGGAACCCUUGACUAACUUACACCAAGGAUAGAAAGAAACAGCCAAAUGAAGAUUGCUUCUGCCCUGGCCUAAAAACCGGUAUCGAAGACGGUCUAUUUUAUUGUUCAUUCCUCUCAGGAUUUGAUUCUGGGGGGAAAAAGUUUCUCUCCUAAAGUUAUGGCAAGUUUCCUUCUGUGGAUAUAUCUAGAUCUAGACAGAUGACUCUAUAUAGAUAUAGGUAUAUAAUUUUUGGCUUGGCUGGGAGAAACCUCAUUUUUUACAAAAAUCUUUUAAAAAUUAUUUAAUUUUUGAGAGAGAGACAGCAUGAGCAGGGGAGGGACAGGGGUGGGGGGACAGAGGAUCUGAAGCAGGCUCCUCACUGACAGUUGGCAAGCCCAACACGGCGCUCGAACCCACGAACCGUGAGAUCAUGAGCUGAGCCGAAGUCAGACGCCUCACCGACUGAGCCCCCCAGGGGCCCCAAUUUUGUUUAUCUUUUCAAAAAACCUGCUGUUAGUUUCACUGAUCUUUUUUUUUUUUAUUGUUGUUUUGGUCUGUAUUUCGUUUAUUUCUGAUUUAAUCUUUUGUUAUUUUCUUCCUUCUGCUAAAACUCUCUAUUCUUCUUUUUCUAGUUCCUGAAAAAGAAAUGUAUU
rnacentral:lncRNA from 1 species